AAAAACAUUGCCUCUCGACUCAACAAUGAGAGGUUCAUCCUGCCCAAUGACAACAUAGUUCAAUGGCCGCGGUACCCUGACCGUGCAAAGGUAGCAUAAUCACUUGCCCCUUAAUUAGGGGCUGGCAUGAAAGGACACACGAAAGCUUCCCUGUCUCACAAUAACAAAUAAAAAUUAAUCUUCAAGUGAAAAAGCUUGAAUGAAACUGCAGGACAAGAAGACCCCGUUGAGCUUUAUUCUCUAUAGACUAAAUCAAAUAUUAAAUAUAUCAUAAACCUAAAAAGAAUUUAGUUGGGGUGACUAAGGAACACCAAAAACUUCCUUUUAUUAGUUAGGAUCAUUCUCCCUACAAAUUGACCCAUUACACAUGAUCAAAAAAAUAAGCUACCACAGGGAUAACAGGCUAAUCUUUCUCAAGAGCCCAAAUUGUCAGAAAGGAUUGGCACCUCGAUGUUGGCUUAGGGGCCCCUAAUGGUGCAGAAGCCAUAAAUGGUAGGUUUGUUCAACCUUUAAAACCCUACGUGAUCUG
rnacentral:rRNA from 1 species